CGGGUGGGGGCCCAGAACCUGUCCCAGGAAGACGCAGGAGACGCGACCGGGGAAAAUGUGCAAAUAUCAAGGUUACCUGGGUCUGCUGGUCACUUCUAGUUUUUGGACUCUUGAAGAUGGUGAGUUUUGCUAAUGAUGCGCGGCUGUUUAAGAACCGGGUGGCUUUUCUGGCAAUCACUCUUCGUGUGCCAUCUUUUAUAAAGGUGCUUCUUGUUGCUAAGAGAUCAGUUGCUUAGAGACCAAACCAUUAAAAAAAUAUAUAUGUCAGGGGCCAACAUAAAUUAUAGCCAAAUUUUGUCAUUUCAGCUCGUCCCCUGAAUGUUUGGCUUUUGUAAUAGAUCGUAGCGUACCAAGAGAAGCUAAUUACUAAUCACAAAUAGAAAACUGACCAUGAGGAGGAGAAAAGAUCUGUGCGUACGCUCCUGUGAACAGAGAGUAAUAUCAUGCGUCCCUUCCAUGGAGUUACAUAGUUGCUGGGCUCUCUGAAACUUUGGCUCCUCGUGGGGGGUCCUAGACAUAUGCCGUAAAAAUAGAUUCAUGCACACACAUAGAUACCUGUCCCAGGAAAACUUGAAUGCAGGGUGGAGUAUGAAGAUGUGGGAAUUGUGGAGCUACUUUACAGUCUUUUUCUAAGGAAAAUUAAAGAAAAAUGCACUGCUUAGGAAAAUGUAUGUCGGAAAUCCGAAGUGAUCUUAGCCUUUCGCCAGAUGUUUUAUGUGUGAACAUGAUUGUCACUGCAUCAGGUUCAGUUGUGUACACCUGGGGGUCAGGGGGUGCUUGGGUAAAAGUCUCUCUACCUUUUAUUUUCUCUCCUGUACUGAGAUAUGGCAUCCUCUGAGGGAGGAAAUACAAUCGGUUAAGUAAGGUAAGGUUUGACUUGGGGAGAGGAGCCUUUCUCUCUUUUCCUGGUGACACUGCUCCUUGAGACCCUCCUCUCAAAUUUACUGUCGGCUAAAUACUGUCCCACAUAGGGACAUUUACAUUUUAGGAACACAUUUUUAAAUGAAAGACUCAAGUUCCUUUAAGAUUUAAUGGAAUAGUGGCAUUCCAAGCUUCUUAACAGGUAGGAUGCAAGAUCUUUGGAGGCAAAAUAAAGCUGGAUGUGAGCCUCCACUGGAUAACUCCAUAACACACCUCCUUCCUGCAUUUCUCCUUUUUCUACCUCCUCCAUUCUUCAAGGUCUCUGUGACUCUGUCCUGGGUGAGAAGAAAGCAAGCAAGUAAGAGACCAAAGACUUGGAUUAAAAGCAAGAUGAGAAGUAAAAAGAGUACCUAGUGAUUUAAAGAUUUGUUCCCUUCCUAGCCUCCAAAGUGCUUGCCAUCCAAGAAGCCUUCAUGCCCUCAGCUUUAUUGGGAGGGCAUCCUGGAAUGAACCCCACUGUGCAGGAGAGGCAAGGUGAGGCCUGGGGGCUGGGAUGGGAGCCCAACGGGAAGAUGAGAAGGUUCCCAUUCCACUCUGUAGUGCUGGUCACUGUCAGAUUGGCAUCAACCCCCACAUCUCCAUCUACAAAGUAGGUGGAAGACCCACAACCAAAUUGAAUUUGAAGUAGAGAUAUAUGCCAGAAAAAAAGAAAAGAAUGAAGACCUGGGCAAGUGGGAUGUGGCUAAGGCUCAGAAGAAAUUUCCUCAGCAAGAGGAAAAAAACACUGACUUCCCCCAAACCAAGCUAUGAGUGAAAACUGACACAUGCACCGAUGACAUAUACAUUUCCUUAAAGUCUCUUCCUUCUAAUUCCCCAAAUUUCUCUUUGUGGCUUAUAUUUUGGGAUAGAAAUGGAAGCAGAAAGGGCUAAGAGGGAAUUAAAGGUGGAAAAGGCAAGAGAAAUAAUAAUGUCUGGGUAUACAGUUGCUGCCUAGCACCUGCUAGGUGAAGGAAUGAGAGAGAGAAGAGGAGGCUGAAAGAGAAAGAGGCUGUGAACUCACUUUAUGUUCCUUGAGGGCAGAAACUGUUGUAUUCUCCUCUUUUCCCAAUUCCAAGUGUUUGCAUGGGGCUUUUGCAUUUAGAAUGCGAUUAAAUGUUUUUGUUAACUUCGAAGUCAAAGGAGAAACAGAGAGAGAAGGGAUGGGUCUAAGGGGGUUGAACUGUUACUCCAUCCUAGACCCCAUGUGACUGGCUCCCUCCAUAAGAGCCCGCUCUGCUCACAUUUGUACUUUGGACUUAGAUCUAAAACUAAAAGCCUGCCCUUCUUCUUUUUUUUUUUUUUUUGAGACGGAGUCUCGCUCUGUCGCCCAGGCUGGAGUGCAGUGGCACGAUCUCGGCUCACUGCAACCUCUGCCUCUGCCUCCAGAGUAGCUGGGACUACAGGCGCCCGCCACCACGCCCGGCUAAUUUUUUUUGUAUUUUUUAGUAGAGAUGGGGUUUCACAGUCUUAGCCAGGAUGGUCUUGAUCUCCUGACCUCGUGAUCCACCCCCCCCUCGGCCUCCCAAAGUGCUGGGAUUACAGGUGUGAGCCACCACGCCCAGCCAAAGCCUGCCCUUCUUCUUAUCUAUCCAUCCUGGUCUCCCCAUUUUAGGGGGGCUCUGGUUUGGCUCUUUCUGCCUUGUGGCCAUUUGCCUUGGACUCUUAGCUUUGACCUCUAGGACAUGAGGUCCUACACCUCAUUUUGGCCACUUCCUACCUAUCAGGAGGUGACUUGGGCACCAUUCUGGACACUAGUCCUUGGCAGGCUCCAGGUUCUCAUCUACAUGGGUGGAGGUGGGGAGAUGCUGUGGUCUGUAAUGAGCCACUGCCCUCACUCAGUGUGGUGUGGUGAAGAAAAUAGGCUUGGACCCAUGAGGGCUUGGCUUACAAAUGUUCCAACUUGAACCUUGGGAAAAAAAUUUUGGUACAGCUUUAACUGUGUCAAGGAAUGUAGUCCAGUGUCAUUUUGGGUCUUGCAGUGUGGCAGGUCACUUGUCCACAGGUACCUGGACCACAGCGCUCUCACAUCCUGACCAACCACUGUUGGGAAGCUGCCCAGCCCACAUGAGCUCCAUAUUCCAGUCUCAGGAAUGGGAAGACAGCACAGUGAGAGAUGCCAAGCUCCGGGGCAUCCUCUGUGGAAUUGACUGCCACUGCAGGCCCAGGCGCCCGUUACUGGGGAAACCAGUGUUCCCUGAUGCCACCCCCACUGAGCAUCCAGAGACCCUGAUGCUAUCUAUUGCCUACUGCCCAGCUGCUGCUAACUCCACCAGGACUUGCUCUUUCCCAGUGGAAAAUUCAGCAGACAACAUUUCUAGAAAUGCUCACACAGCCCCCUUGCUACACAGCCCCUUCUAUUUUAGAAAGGACCCACUCCUACCCCAGGAAGACUCCAGUGUAGUGACCACAACUCUAUUCUAUUUCUCCAGGAAACUGUUCUUAGAAGAGGCCUGAAGAGAAACAUGACUGACUAGGUAAGAUUAGAGGCUAUACCAGAUGUUUGGGGCACUCUCUGGAGGUUCCUGGGGCAGCAAGUAGAAGCUCAGCCAGUACUACGCAAGGGGGCUUUUUCCAAGCCCUUUCAGGGGCCAUGUCCUGGACAGAAACCUACCCUGAGGAGCCAGAGCCCUGCGGGCAGGAGAGGAGGACCUGCCUGGAGAAGUCACAUCCAGACAUACAGCCCGGCAGCUCCUAUGGAAAAGCAGGACUUGAGCAACAGGGGGCAGCAAAGCACAACUGCCUUCUUCAGUUGAGCCCUAGGGCAGCCUUGGGAGGCAGGCAGUGAAGGGCAGGAGAGUUGGCCCCCCUCUCAGGGGACAGCUGCUUGGCUGGCCAGAGGUAAUGGCCAAGUUUGAAUCUGAAGUAGAGAUAUAUGCCAGAAAAAAAAAAGAAAAGAAUAAUGCCCUGUGCAAGUGGGAUGUGGCUAAGGCUCAGAAGAAAUUUCCUCAGCAAGAGUAAAGGGUACACUGACUUCCCCCAACCCAAGUUAUGACUGAAAACUGACACAUACACCAAUGACAUAUACAUUUUCCCUUAAGUCUCUUCCUUCUAAUUCCCCAAAUUUCUCUUUGUGGCUCAUAUUUUGGGAUAGAAAUGGAAGCAGAAAGGGAAGGGCUAAGAAGGAAUUAGAGGUGGAAAAGGCAAGAAAAAUAAUAAUGAGAAUAAACCAAAUAAAGAGAAAUAAACCAAGCUUGCCCCUUGUUGGUUCCCUCUCUGAAUUCUGAAAAAUCUUUGUCACAGUCCACAGGGACCUCUGGAAUGAGAAGAACUGAGACAGAGAGGCUGGAGUAAAGGAGCAGCAGACCUCCAGACACAUGAUGAUAGUUACCCUUGCUGAUUUCACCCCUUUCUCCGGUCUUACUUCAUCCUUGUAGAUGGAGCCCCUAAGAUACAACACUUCAUCUUCUUGUUGGGAAAAAGCUGAGUGUUGGGAAAAAAGCUGAGGCAGGGCUUGCAUGUCUGACAUAAUGUCCAGGGCUCAGUGCAUAAAACCCCUCGUGGCCUCUGGAAUGAGUCUAGACUUGCUGGCUCCUUGCUUCUAGCUUAAACUGGAAGAACAUGCUCCCUAUUAUCUCAAGUAGCAGAAUAUGUUCCAUAUGCUUCAAAGGAAAUGCUAAACUAUCACAGCUGUAGAUCAUGUGCUUGCCCUUUUGACCCACACAUUCUCACCACCUGUUUCUUUGUUUGACCACCAAUAAAUAGUCUGGGCUUCCAGCGCUCAGGGCCUUCACAGCCUCCAUACUUGCGUUGGCCACCUGGACCCACUUUCUCUCUCAAACUGUCUUUUCUCUUUCCUUUGACUCUGCCAGACUUCGUUGCCCCAAGGCCUGGUGUUGGAUCUGAUCACCCCAACAUUCCUGGCUGCCCAACGUGGGGCGACAAAGGCCCUGGUGAAGGAACACUAGAGCAUGUGAAAGCAGGGGAUGCAUUGUCAAAGGACACCCAAGGAUGACUAAAGGAAGCUUGGUGGGAAAGCUGAGGGCUCGGAAGAACCAGGGUAACAACAGGACAAAGUGAAAGCAAAUAUUCUGCUUAUUUAAGUUUCUUAAGGCAUUUAUUAUGAAGAGCGGGGGUGAAAGUUAGUACUCAGAAUUUGUUAUCACUCUUUAGUACGGUAAAGGAGUUUUGCCCAUGGUUCCUGGAACAAGGGACUAUGGAGUUGGAUGAAUGGGAGAGAACUGGCAGAGAUUUUUAAAAGGCGUAUAAAGAUGGAGCAAAAAUUCCAGUUUUUUUUUGUCAAUGUGGGUGAUAAUAAAGGCAGCUUUUGAGCCAUUUCAAACAGAUGAUGAGGUAGAUUCAGAUGAGGAAGAGGAGGACGAGUGUAAAGAACUAAUUUCAGAUUCUGAAUGUGAGGAACAGAAAACAGAGGAAAUUAAAGAAAAGAAAGGGAAACUGAAAGAAGUAUGUUUUACUAGCCCGUUGGCUCCACCUGCUGAAUUAAGUGAAUGGCCACCUCUUCUCUCUCCCAUUAAUGGGCGAGAAAAUGAAUUAGCUGAAAAACACCGCUCCUGUAGUUGCAACAUUAAAACCUGGAGCAAUUGGUGGUGCUAUACAAAAUUCUAUUCAAAAAGCUAGAGCCGAGGGAGACCUUGAAGUAUGGCAAUUUCCCAUUACUAUAAUCCAGCAAGGAGGAAAGGAAUUCAAGCAAGCCAUUACUCUGAAUACGUUAAGGCUUGCGAUGGCAUUGGAGGUAACUUACAUAAGGCUACUCUUUCAGCUCAGGCUAUGGCUGGAUUAAGAGUAGGAAAGAAUAUGCCCCAUUUCUC
rnacentral:lncRNA from 1 species